rnacentral:rRNA from 1 species
UACGUAGGGAGCGAGCGUUGUCCGGAAUUACUGGGCGUAAAGGGCGAGUAGGCGGCAGUGCAAGUAGGGUGUGAAAGCCCCCGGCUUAACCGGGGAGGGUCAUUCUAAACUGCACAGCUAGAGGGCAAGAGAGGCUAACGGAAUUCCCGGUGUAGUGGUGAAAUGCGUAGAUAUCGGGAGGAACAUCAGAGGCGAAGGCGGUUAGCUGGGUUGUGCCUGACGCUGAGGCGCGAAGGCUAGGGGAGCAAACAGG